CCUACGGGAGGCAGCAGUGAGGAAUAUUGGUCAAUGGGCGCGAGCCUGAACCAGCCAAGUAGCGUGAAGGAUGACUGCCCUACGGGUUGUAAACUUCUUUUAUAAAGGAAUAAAGUGAGGCACGUGUGCCUUUUUGUAUGUACUUUAUGAAUAAGGAUCGGCUAACUCCGUGCCAGCAGCCGCGGUAAUACGGAGGAUCCGAGCGUGAUCCGUAUUUGUUGGGUUUAAAGGGAGCGUAGGCGGAGCGUUAAGUCAGUGGUAAAAUUGAGGGGCUCAACCCCUGCCCGCCAUUGAAACUGGCAGUCUUGAGUGGAGGAGAGGUAUGCGGAAUGCGUGGUGUAGCGGUGAAAUGCAUAGAUAUAACGCAGAACCCCGAUUGCGAAGGCAGCAUGCCGGCUUCCGACUGACGCUGAAGCACGAAAGCGUGGGGAUCGAACAGGAUUAGAUACCCGAGUAGUC
rnacentral:rRNA from 1 species